UGACUAAGAUGAGAGCCACGGUGGGGGUCA
rnacentral:piRNA from 1 species